UUCAGGAAUUACAUCUACUUCGGCAUUUUCAUCAUGAUCUAUGAUAUUAUAAUCUU
rnacentral:sRNA from 1 species